rnacentral:rRNA from 1 species
UACGUAGGGUGCGAGCGUUGUCCGGAAUUAUUGGGCGUAAAGGGCUCGUAGGCGGUUUUGUCGCGUCGGGAGUGAAAAACCAGGUGCUUAACACCUGGCUUGCUUUUCGAUACGGGCAGACUAGAGGUAUGCAGGGGGAGAACGGAAAUUCCUGGUGUAGCGGUGAAAAUGCGCAGAUAUCAGGAGGAACACCGGUGGCGAAGGCGGUUCUCUGGGCAUGACCUGACGCUGAGGAGCGAAAAGUGUGGGGGAGCGAAACAGG